AAGGGCAACAAUAACAAAUAAAUAGCAUGUUGACUAGUAUUACUACUUCACUAUACACUCAAGUUUCUUGAACCCAGAAGCUGCAUGUAAAAAAUAGAAGAAGCCUAUGGACCAAAAGAAAAAAAAAAGAUAUUGUGCUAAGAUACUGUAUAUGGGCACAAAUAAGAAAAAGAGUCACAGCAAGCUCCUUGGAUCCUGCCACCUGUUAUGGGAAAACAAUAUACAAAAAAGGAAGUUGAAAGGGAGGAAGAAGAAGAUGAAGAAGCUGACAUCUAGAGAUAUUUAUCCAAGAUCGCACCACCAAUAAAUGGUAAA